rnacentral:rRNA from 1 species
UGGGGAAUAUUGGACAAUGGGCGAAAGCCUGAUCCAGCAAUGCCGCGUGCAGGAUGACGGUCCUAUGGAUGGUAAACUGCUUUUUGUACAGGAAGAAACAGUUCUACGUGUAGAACCUUGACGGUACUGUAAGAAUAAGGAUCGGCUAACUCCGUGCCAGCAGCCGCGGUAAUACGGAGGAUCCAAGCGUUAUCCGGAAUCAUUGGGUUUAAAGGGUCCGUAGGCGGUUAGAUAAGUCAGUGGUGAAAGCCCAUCGCUCAACGGUGGAACGGCCAUUGAUACUGUCUGACUUGAAUUAUUAGGAAGUAACUAGAAUAUGUAGUGUAGCGGUGAAAUGCUUAGAGAUUACAUGGAAUACCAAUUGCGAAGGCAGGUUACUACUAAUGGAUUGACGCUGAUGGACGAAAGCGUGGGUAGCGAACAGGAUUAGAUACCCCCGUAGUCCCUGAGCGGGCUGGCAAGGCGCAU